ACGAACGCUGGCGGCGUGCCUAAUACAUGCAAGUUGAGCGCUGAAGGUUGGUACUUGUACCGACUGGAUGAGCAGCGAACGGGUGAGUAACGCGUGGGGAAUCUGCCUUUGAGCGGGGGACAACAUUUGGAAACGAAUGCUAAUACCGCAUAAAAACUUUAAACACAAGUUUUAAGUUUGAAAGAUGCAAUUGCAUCACUCAAAGAUGAUCCCGCGUUGUAUUAGCUAGUUGGUGAGGUAAAGGCUCACCAAGGCGAUGAUACAUAGCCGACCUGAGAGGGUGAUCGGCCACAAUGGGACUGAGACACGGCCCAAACUCCUACGGGAGGCAGCAGUAGGGAAUCUUCGGCAAUGGACGAAAGUCUGACCGAGCAACGCCGCGGGAGUGAAGAAGGGUUUCGGAUCGUAAAACUCUGUUGGUAGAGAAGAACGUUGGUGAGAGUGGAAAGCUCAUCAAGUGACGGUAACUACACAGAAAGGGACGGCUAACUACGUG
rnacentral:rRNA from 1 species